rnacentral:rRNA from 1 species
CAGGCAGGCCAGCAUCAGUUUGGGCGGUUGGAUAAAGGUCUCUGUCACGUACCUCCUUUCGGGGAGGCCUUAUAGGGGAGACGUCAUACAACCAGCCUGGACUGAGGUCCGCGCAUCUGCUAGGAUGCUGGCGUAAUGGCUGUAAGCGG